UUCUCGCAAUCUCUCUCUCUCUCUCUCUCUCUCUCUCUCUCUCUCUCUCUCUCUCUCUUCUUCUUCUUCUUCUCUGAAAUUUGGAAGUAGUUGAGUCAGAGAUGUUCGCUUUAGGCGAUGAUCUCAUCAUAGAAUUUCCAGGGGAGUCAUGGCUCUUAAGUCUGCACCUAUUGGUGAUGUUCCUCUUCUUCCUCCUCCUCUUCACUCACCUUACAAUCCAUGGCUUCGACGCCGACGCCGCCGCCGCCGACGACCACCGAAAGGUUUCGACUGUUGCCGCCGAUCAUUUUAUGAGUCGAGACCACCGGAAGGCGAAGCAAAUCAAGAACAACUCCAUUAAAAUUGGGAUCAACUGCUCUCAGGAUAAGUAUAAGGUGAAUACCAUCAGAGGCCACUUGACAACAUCCACAAGAAGAACAAAACUAAAGGAGAGGAAGGAACAAGAUGGUGAAGAAGAAAUAGAAGAAAUGGGAGAAUCUUCACCAAUGGUGGUCAAACGAAGAACACUAAUGCACUUUUGUGUUAAUCCCUGCUAUUACCUAGAACAAUUCUUAAAGCCUUUUUUGAAGUGCUUUGGUCUUGAAUCUACAUAUCAUGAUUCUUAACAACAAAACAAGGAAGAAAAUUUAAUGAAUAUCAAGAGAAAAGCCAUUGGACCAAGGUUGCAAUGUAGAUCCACAAAUCCUUCAAAGCAUCAAUGAUGGCUGGGGGAGCUUCCAAUGCAUAUUCAUUCAAUACAAUAACACAACUUUGUAACACAAAUGUAUGAAAUUUUCUCCAAUUUGUGCCA